rnacentral:rRNA from 1 species
CCUACGGGUGGCAGCAGUGAGGAAUAUUGGUCAAUGGACGGAAGUCUGAACCAGCCAUGCCGCGUGCAGGAAGACGGCUCUAUGAGUUGUAAACUGCUUUUGUACAAGGGUAAACCUUAACACGUGUAUUCCGCUGAAAGUACUUUACGAAUAAGGAUCGGCUAACUCCGUGCCAGCAGCCGCGGUAAUACGGAGGAUCCAAGCGUUAUCCGGAUUUAUUGGGUUUAAAGGGUGCGUAGGCGGAUUGAUAAGUUAGCGGUGAAAUGUCCGGGCGUAACUCGGGAACUGCCUCUAAUACUGGAGAGCUAGAGAGUAGGAGCGGUAGGCGGAAUGUAUGGUGUAGCGGUGAAAUGCUUAGAGAUCAUACAGAACACCGAUUGUGAAGGCAGCUUACCAAUCUAUAUCUGACGUUGAGGCACGAAAGCGUGGGGAGCAAACAGGAUUAGAUACCCCGGUAGUC